AUUUGCGCAUACUUUAUUGUGGCAGAAACGCGUUGGUCAUGUAACAGGGUGAAAUUUUUUUCCCUUUUGUUCAUACAGCAUCAAACGACACGCGAUAGUUCUGGCGGUAAUCAACUAUUCAAGAUGGUAGACCUGUCAAUGUAAAAGACAGGAUUUUCUUCUCCGACUGCAGGUGCAAGGAUUAUGUGUUUGAAACUUAGAAAAGUUUGCAGUAGAAUAUU